rnacentral:tRNA from 1 species
ACGGGAUUAGUAUAGUGGCAGUACAGAAGACUCCAAACCUUCUGGCGGGGGUUCGAUUCCUCCAUCCCGUG